UACGUAGGGACCAAGCGUUGUCCGGAAUCAUUGGGCGUAAAGAGCUCGUAGGCGGUUCAGUAAGUCAGGUGUGAAAGCUCCGAGCUCAACUCGGAGAGGCCACCUGAUACUGCUGUGACUAGAAUCCAGUAGGGGAGUGUGGAACUCCUGGUGUAGCGGUGAAAUGCGCAGAUAUCAGGAAGAACACCAGCGGCGAAGGCGGCACUCUGGGCUGGAAUUGACGCUGAGGAGCGAAAGUGUGGGUAGCAAACAGG
rnacentral:rRNA from 1 species